CUUGUGACAUCAUAGAAGUAGGAAACGGUGACCGCCUGCUUGCUCGCAGGCAUCCAGUUCUUCUUGGUGUUGGGGUCAAUCUGGAAGACAUGCGCUCGGGUGGUGAAGAUGGGCUGUUCUCUGCAAUAAGAGAGUGGGCGUAUAAUAGAAUUGCACAUAGAGAACACCCAAGAAAAUCAACUGAAAAAGAUAUCACCAAGGUGGCCUCAAGAAUUGAUAGGAUUCCAGCCACAAGUGAAGGAUCAAGGACAGGUUGGCCUGUUGGCCAGACGCCCAGCGCAAACAGCUCAGCCCAGUGAGGGAGAGUCAUUAGGAUAGAGGAGCUUGAAACUCCCAACUUCUAUGGAGAUAAAGUGCUGUUUGAUUUGAGAAACCAGUCCUGAAAACCACAUCACCAAAGCACCUUCCCUCUCACAUUCCCAACAGAUGAAUCCUAUUACAG
rnacentral:lncRNA from 1 species